rnacentral:lncRNA from 1 species
GUUGCAGCCAAGUCUAACUGCCACAAUACAUUGUGUUUCUUUAGCUACAUAAUCUCCCAAAUUUCAGUUCCAAAACAAAUGUUGUCUUCUGAUUUCUAUCCCCUAGACAGUCUCAUCUGCAGUGCUCCGUUCUUGUCCAACAGAUGCUGGGUGUAGAUCUCCUGCUUUGGCUAUGUUUAAAUACGAACAAGCCUACACUACUACUUUCAGAAUAUUUCAGACUUCCUGAAGGCACAGUAAAAGAUGGAACACGAGAUUAUGACAAACUCUCUUCUGGGAUCUAUGUAGUGGGGCUUGACUUUGAUCUUCCGUUUCUCCUGCCCUUGGAGACCAAAGGCAUUUUUGCAUAUGGCAAAUGAAGGGAAUUGUGGGGCUCAGAACUGCUGUGCUGAUCAGAGAGUUCUCUGAAAGGUCUGUGUUCUGAGUUAUUGAAACAUUAAAGAGCAUGGUGUAGGCUGUCUGGAGCUUGUAGUGGAUGUGUCUUUGUGUCCUGGC